GAUGAACGCUGGCGGCGUGCCUAAUACAUGCAAGUCGAGCGAACAGACGAGGAGCUUGCUCCUCUGACGUUAGCGGCGGACGGGUGAGUAACACGUGGAUAACCUACCUAUAAGACUGGGAUAACUUCGGGAAACCGGAGCUAAUACCGGAUAAUAUAUUGAACUGCAUGGUUCAAUAGUGAAAGACGGUUUUGCUGUCACUUAUUGAUGGAUCCGCGCCGCAUUAGCUAGUUGGUAAGGUAACGGCUUACCAAGGCAACGAUGCGUAGCCGACCUGAGAGGGUGAUCGGCCACACUGGAACUGAGACACGGUCCAGACUCCUACGGGAGGCAGCAGUAGGGAAUCUUCCGCAAUGGGCGAAAGCUUGACGGAGCAACGCCGCGUGAGUGAUGAAGGUCUUCGGAUCGUAAAACUCUGUUAUUAGGGAAGAACAAAUGUGUAAGUAACUAUGCACGUCUUGACGGUACCUAAUCAGAAAGCCACGGCUAACUACGUG
rnacentral:rRNA from 1 species